AAAGUAGAUUUUGUAGACUGUAAUGUGUU
rnacentral:piRNA from 1 species